rnacentral:rRNA from 1 species
AACGAACGCUGGCGGCAUGCCUAACACAUGCAAGUCGAACGAGACCUUCGGGUCUAGUGGCGCACGGGUGCGUCACGCGUGGGAACCUGCCCUUAGGUUCGGAAUAACUCCCCGAAAGGGGUGCUAAUACCGGAUAAUUUCUUCGGACCCAAGAUUUAUCGCCGUUGGAUGGGCCCGCGUUGGAUUAGCUAGUGGGUAGGGUAAAAGCCUACCAAGGCGACGAUCCAUAGCUGGUCUGAGAGGAUGAUCAGCCACACUGGGACUGAGACACGGCCCAGACUCCUACGGGAGGCAGCAGUGGGGAAUAUUGGACAAUGGGCGAAAGCCUGAUCCAGCAAUGCCGCGUGAGUGAUGAAGGCCUUAGGGUUGUAAAGCUCUUUUACCCGGGAUGAUAAUGACAGUACCGGGAGAAUAAGCUCCGGCUAACUCCGUG